AGUUAAAAAGCUUUAAGAUAAGCAUAUAUUUUGAAAAUAUAAGAAAAAGGUUAAAUUCCUUUAUUAACUU
rnacentral:tRNA from 1 species